rnacentral:rRNA from 1 species
AUUGAACGCUGGCGGCGGGCCUAACACAUGCAAGUCGAGCGAGCGGCGGACGGGUGAGUAAUGUCUGGGAAACUGCCUGAUGGAGGGGGAUAACUACUGGAAACGGUAGCUAAUACCGCAUACCAUCAGAUUUUCCCAGUGGGGAUUAGCUAGUAGGUGGGGUAACGGCUCACCUAGGCGACGAUCCCUAGCUGGUCUGAGAGGCUGACCAGCCACACUGGAACUGAGACACGGUCCAGACUCCUACGGGAGGCAGCAGUGGGGAAUAUUGCACAAUGGGCGCAAGCCUGAUGCAGCAAUGCCGCGUGUGUGAAGAAGGCCUUCGGGUUGUAAAGCUCUGUCAGCGGGGAGGCGUUACCCGCAGAAGAAGCACCGGCUAACUCCGUGCCAGCAGCCGCGGUAAUUC